CCAAACCUCAUUUUGAGCUUCCGAUUCAAAAUGACCUCACUCGCUCACUCACUCAACAUUUUCCACCAUAUUUGAUGGACUACUUGGCCGCCAAAAUGUAAACCUUUACUCAAAUUAACCAAGAAUCGGAUUGAAGUGAUAAGGAGAAAGAGAAGAGCUACGGAGAAGUUUAGACAUCAAUGCCUACGGAAGGGCGGAAGGACUCUUGGUUGAAUUGAUAAUCUCAUCUUGUUAUAGUUUUAUGGAGAAAUCGUGUGAGCUUGUGUUGGAGCAUCUUGUUAAGGUA